CGCAAGCCUGACGGAGCAACGCCGCGUGUGGGAAGAAGGCUCUUGGGCUGUAAACUACUUUUCUCAGGGAAGAAGUUCUGACGGUACCUGAGGAAUCAGCCUCGGCUAACUCCGUGCCAGCAGCCGCGGUAAUACGGAGGAGGCAAGCGUUAUCCGGAAUUACUGGGCGUAAAGCGUUCGUAGGGGGCUCGUCAAGUCUGCUGUCAAAGCUCGGAGCUCAACUCCGAAGGGGCAGUGGAAACUGGUGCGCUAGAGGGCGACAGGGGUAGAGGGAAUUCCCAGUGUAGCGGUGAAAUGCGUAGAGAUUGGGAAGAACACCGGUGGCGAAAGCGCUCUACUGGGUCGCACCUGACCCUCAGGGACGAAAGCUAAGGUAGCG
rnacentral:rRNA from 1 species